rnacentral:rRNA from 1 species
GACGAACGCUGGCGGCGUGCUUAACACAUGCAAGUCGAGCGAGGGGCUUCGGCUCCUAGCGGCGAACGGGUGAGUAACACGUGGGCAACCUGCCCCGAGCUCUGGAAUAACCUCGGGAAACCGGGGCUAAUGCCGGAUAUGACGCUACCGGGCAUCUGGUGGUGUGGAAAGAUUUAUCGGCUCNGGAUGGGCCCGCGGCCUAUCAGCUUGUUGGUGGGGUGAUGGCCUACCAAGGCGACGACGGGUAGCCGGCCUGAGAGGGCGACCGGCCACACUGGGACUGAGACACGGCCCAGACUCCUACGGGAGGCAGCAGUGGGGAAUAUUGCGCAAUGGGCGAAAGCCUGACGCAGCGACGCCGCGUGGGGGAUGACGGCC